GCGAACCGGGGGAACUGAAACAUCUAAGUACCCCGAGGAAAAGAAAUCAACCGAGAUUCCCCCAGUAGCGGCGAGCGAACGGGGAGCAGCCCAGAGUCUGAAUCAGCUUGUGUGUUAGUGGAACGGUCUGGAAAGUCCGACGGUACAGGGUGAUAGUCCCGUACACCAAAAUGCACAGGCUGUGAACUCGAAGAGUAGGGCGGGACACGUGGUAUCCUGUCUGAAUAUGGGGGGACCAUCCUCCAAGGCUAAAUACUCCUGACUGACCGAUAGUGAACCAGUACCGUGAGGGAAAGGCGAAAAGAACCCCGGCGAGGGGAGUGAAAAAGAACCUGAAACCGUGUACGUACAAGCAGUGGGAGCACCUUCGGGUGUGACUGCGUACCUUUUGUAUAAUGGGUCAGCGACUUAUAUUCUGUAGCAAGGUUAACCGUAUAGGGGAGCCGCAGGGAAACCGAGUCUUAACUGGGCGUUAAGUUGCAGGGUAUAGACCCGAAACCCGGUGAUCUAGCCAUGGGCAGGUUGAAGGUUGGGUAACACUAACUGGAGGACCGAACCGACUAAUGUUGAAAAAUUAGCGGAUGACUUGUGGCUGGGGGUGAAAGGCCAAUCAAACCGGGAGAUAGCUGGUUCUCCCCGAAAGCUAUUUAGGUAGCGCCUCGUGAACUCAUCUUCGGGGGUAGAGCACUGUUUCGGCUAGGGGGUCAUCCCGACUUACCAACCCGAUGCAAACUACGAAUACCGAAGAAUGUUAUCACGGGAGACACACGGCGGGUGCUAACGUCCGUCGUGAAGAGGGAAACAACCCAGACCGCCAGCUAAGGUCCCAAAGUCAUGGUUAAGUGGGAAACGAUGUGGGAAGGCACAGACAGCCAGGAUGUUGGCUUAGAAGCAGCCAUCAUUUAAAGAAAGCGUAAUAGCUCACUGGUCGAGUCGGCCUGCGCGGAAGAUGUAACGGGGCUAAACCAUGCACCGAAGCUGCGGCAGCGACACUAUGUGUUGUUGGGUAGGGGAGCGUUCUGUAAGCCUGCGAAGGUGACCUGUGAGGGUUGCUGGAGGUAUCAGAAGUGCGAAUGCUGACAUAAGUAACGAUAAAGCGGGUGAAAAGCCCGCUCGCCGGAAGACCAAGGGUUCCUGUCCAACGUUAAUCGGGGCAGGGUGAGUCGACCCCUAAGGCGAGGCCGAAAGGCGUAGUCGAUGGGAAACAGGUUAAUAUUCCUGUACUUGGUGUUACUGCGAAGGGGGGACGGAGAAGGCUAUGUUAGCCGGGCGACGGUUGUCCCGGUUUAAGCAUGUAGGCUGGUUGUCCAGGCAAAUCCGGAUAAUCAAGGCUGAGGUGUGAUGACGAGGCACUACGGUGCUGAAGUAACAAAUGCCCUGCUUCCAGGAAAAGCCUCUAAGCAUCAGGUAACAUCAAAUCGUACCCCAAACCGACACAGGUGGUCAGGUAGAGAAUACCAAGGCGCUUGAGAGAACUCGGGUGAAGGAACUAGGCAAAAUGGUGCCGUAACUUCGGGAGAAGGCACGCUGGUGUGUAGGUGAAGCCCCUGCGGGUGGAGCUGAGACCAGUCGAAGAUACCAGCUGGCUGCAACUGUUUAUUAAAAACACAGCACUGUGCAAACACGAAAGUGGACGUAUACGGUGUGACGCCUGCCCGGUGCCGGAAGGUUAAUUGAUGGGGUUAUCCGUAAGGAGAAGCUCUUGAUCGAAGCCCCGGUAAACGGCGGCCGUAACUAUAACGGUCCUAAGGUAGCGAAAUUCCUUGUCGGGUAAGUUCCGACCUGCACGAAUGGCGUAAUGAUGGCCAGGCUGUCUCCACCCGAGACUCAGUGAAAUUGAACUCGCUGUGAAGAUGCAGUGUACCCGCGGCAAGACGGAAAGACCCCGUGAACCUUUACUAUAGCUUGACACUGAACAUUGAGCCUUGAUGUGUAGGAUAGGUGGGAGGCUUUGAAGCGUGGACGCCAGUCUGCGUGGAGCCAACCUUGAAAUACCACCCUUUAAUGUUUGAUGUUCUAACGUUGGCCCCUGACCGGGGUUGCGGACAGUGUCUGGUGGGUAGUUUGACUGGGGCGGUCUCCUCCCAAAGCGUAACGGAGGAGCACGAAGGUUAGCUAAUCCUGGUCGGACAUCAGGAGGUUAGUGCAAUGGCAUAAGCUAGCUUGACUGCGAGCGUGACGGCGCGAGCAGGUGCGAAAGCAGGUCAUAGUGAUCCGGUGGUUCUGAAUGGAAGGGCCAUCGCUCAACGGAUAAAAGGUACUCCGGGGAUAACAGGCUGAUACCGCCCAAGAGUUCAUAUCGACGGCGGUGUUUGGCACCUCGAUGUCGGCUCAUCACAUCCUGGGGCUGAAGUAGGUCCCAAGGGUAUGGCUGUUCGCCAUUUAAAGUGGUACGCGAGCUGGGUUUAGAACGUCGUGAGACAGUUCGGUCCCUAUCUGCCGUGGGCGCUGGAGAAUUGAGGGGGGCUGCUCCUAGUACGAGAGGACCGGAGUGGACGCAUCACUGGUGUUCGGGUUGUCAUGCCAAUGGCACUGCCCGGUAGCUAAAUGCGGAAGAGAUAAGUGCUGAAAGCAUCUAAGCACGAAACUUGCCCCGAGAUGAGUUCUCCCUGAGACUUUAAGUCUCCUGAAGGAACGUUAAAGACGAUGACGUUGAUAGGCCGGGUGUGUAAGCGCAGCGAUGCGUUGAGCUAACCGGUACUAAUGAACCGUGAGGCUUAACCUU
rnacentral:rRNA from 1 species